UUUAAUGAGAGUUUGAUCCUGGCUCAGGACGAACGCUGGCGGCGUGCCUAAUACAUGCAAGUAGAACGCUGAGGUUUGGUGUUUACACUAGACUGAUGAGUUGCGAACGGGUGAGUAACGCGUAGGUAACCUGCCUCAUAGCGGGGGAUAACUAUUGGAAACGAUAGCUAAUACCGCAUAAGAGUAAUUAACACAUGUUGGUUAUUUAAAAGGAGCAAUUGCUUCACUGUGAGAUGGACCUGCGUUGUAUUAGCUAGUUGGUGAGGUAAAGGCUCACCAAGGCGACGAUACAUA
rnacentral:rRNA from 1 species